UGCAGUCGAGCGGACCGAUGGGAGCUUGCUCCCUUAGGUCAGCGGCGGACGGGUGAGUAACACGUGGGUAACCUGCCUGUAAGACUGGGAUAACUCCGGGAAACCGGGGCUAAUACCGGAUGCUUGAUUGAACCGCAUGGUUCAAUCAUAAAAGGUGGCUUUUAGCUACCACUUACAGAUGGACCCGCGGCGCAUUAGCUAGUUGGUGAGGUAACGGCUCACCAAGGCGACGAUGCGUAGCCGACCUGAGAGGGUGAUCGGCCACACUGGGACUGAGACACGGCCCAGACUCCUACGGGAGGCAGCAGUAGGGAAUCUUCCGCAAUGGACGAAAGUCUGACGGAGCAACGCCGCGUGAGUGAUGAAGGUUUUCGGAUCCGGUUACAAACCUCCCGAGGUUAAGGACGGACCAAGUACCGUUCGAAUAGGCCGGUACCUUGACGGUACCUAAUCAGAAAGUCACGGCUAACUACGUGCCAGCAGCCGCGGUAAUACGUAGGGUGGCAAGCGUUGUCCGGAAUUAUUGGGCGUAAAGCGCGCGCAGGCGGUUUCUUAAGUCUGAUGUGAAAGCCCCCGGGCUCAACCCGGGGAGGGUCAUUGGGAAACUGGGGAACUUGAGUGCAGAAGAGGAGAGUGGAAUUUCCACGUGUAGCGGUGAAAUGCGUAGAGAUGUGGAGGAACACCAGUGGCGAAGGCGACUCUCUGGUCUGUAACUGACGCUGAGGCGCGAAAGCGUGGGGAGCGAACAGGAUUAGAAUACCCUGGUAGUCCACGCCGUAAACGAUGAGUGCUAAGUGUUAGAGGGUUUCCGCCCUUUAGUGCUGCAGCAAACGCAUUAAGCACUCCGCCUGGGGAGUACGGUCGCAAGACUGAAACUCAAAGGAAUKGACGGGGGCCCGCACAAGCGGUGGAGCAUGGUGGUUUAAUUCGAAGCAACGCGAAGAACCUUACCAGGUCUUGACAUCCUCUGACAACCCUAGAGAUAGGGCUUCCCCUUCGGGGGCAGAGUGACAGGUGGUGCAUGGUUGUCGUCAGCUCGUGUCGUGAGAUGUUGGGUUAAGUCCCGCAACGAGCGCAACCCUUGAUCUUAGUUGCCAGCAUUCAGUUGGGCACUCUAAGGUGACUGCCGGUGACAAACCGGAGGAAGGUGGGGAUGACGUCAAAUCAUCAUGCCCCUUAUGACCUGGGCUACACACGUGCUACAAUGGGCAGAACAAAGGGCAGCGAAGCCGCGAGGCUAAGCCAAUCCCACAAAUCUGUUCUCAGUUCGGAUCGCAGUCUGCAACUCGACUGCGUGAAGCUGGAAUCGCUAGUAAUCGCGAUCGAGUUGGUG
rnacentral:rRNA from 1 species